rnacentral:rRNA from 1 species
AUUGAACGCUGGCGGCAUGCCUUACACAUGUAAGUCGAACGGCAGCACGGGAGCAAUCCUGGUGGCGAGUGGCGAACGGGUGAGUAAUAUAUCGGAACGUGCCCAGUCGUGGGGGAUAACGCAGCGAAAGCUGUGCUAAUACCGCAUACGAUCUACGGAUGAAAGCGGGGGAUCGCAAGACCUCGCGCGAUUGGAGCGGCCGAUAUCAGAUUAGCUAGUUGGUGGGGUAAAGGCCCACCAAGGCGACGAUCUGUAGCUGGUCUGAGAGGACGACCAGCCACACUGGAACUGAGACACGGUCCAGACUUCUACGGGAGGCAGCAGUGGGGAAUUUUGGACAAUGGGCGCAAGCCUGAUCCAGCAAUGCCGCGUGCAGGAUGAAGGCCUUCGGGUUGUAAACUGCUUUUGUACGGAACGAAACGGCCCUUUCUAAUACAGGGGGCUAAUGACGGUACCGUAAGAAUAAGCACCGGCUAACUACGUGCCAGCCGCCGCAGUAA